ensembl:lncRNA
GUUUUUGUUUUUCCUCCGAGUUGGGGGAAUAUUUUUUUCUUUUACAAAUCAUCUCUCUGGAUAUUGUAGUUAUAUUUUGGCUGCUGUCAGGUGACAUGAGGCUGAGAGAGAGUGAAGUACCCCCUGGUCAUCACAGCUAAGAGGGAGUAAAAGGCGUUAACAUCCAGCUUUAUGUGAUUAAAAAUGAGCAACGUGCUAAACAGACCUUUUCCCCGUUUUUCCUGUGAUUUUUCUGUGAUUAGAUGUUAAUAAUGUGAUUGGAUGUCCCCGGGAAGGAACAGUUCAGAAGAUUGGAUGUAAGUCGUUCACAAAUCACAUCAGAGAUGCUUGACCCAGUCCGACCUGUGAACCUACAAACUGGUCGUAUAUUUUUGGCUUUCCUCUCUGCUCAUUUUCCCUGUGUUAGAUGGUUAGUUCUGAAGGAUUUUGGUUUACAUCAUACUUCCACAGUUCUCCUGUUGGGUGAUUUUCAUCAACUCAAUAAUCAUCAAUAUUUUAUUUCUAUAGCACAUUUAAAAAGGACAGUGUCCAUCAAAGUGCUUCACACAAGGUAGCAAAGCAGAUUACAAAGGCAACAAAAACAGUUAACAACAAUUAAAAACAGUUGUAGUUACAGUCACAUAGCACAACUGCAGGCCAGGUGGAAGUCCAAACUAAUUUGCUUCAAAAGCUAGAUGGAACAGGUGAGUUUUUAAGCGUGUGUAGCAGCACGAGGUGGGAAUAAAGCAAAUACUCUUCACAGUUUAAAAGACAACGCCACCCUGGGAAUUUCACCCAGAGAAUACUGGAAGUAACACUAAUCACCAAGAAGGCACUUAGGUUCAUUAUACUCAGUACGGAGACAAAGUUCAAUGAUAAAACAAUUUAUUAAUAAUUAUUUAAAACAACAUAUAAAAGCACAAACAUAAAUAUCAAUGUACAAAUAUGCUUAAAAAAGGUAUUCAGAGCCGAGGCUUACCAGUGGAGGGGCAGGGAUGCCACGCACAAACUCAAAAAAAAAGAAAAGAAAACACACCAAUACACAAGUGCAGCACACUCUCACUAAUAAACUAAAAGACAGGUGUGUAACACUCAAAAGUUCCCACCACCAAGGCGCCCCCAGUCUCCUCCACGUCAGCCCUCCGCAUCUGAAUAAAAGAAAAAAGAAAAUUAUAAUAUAUUACAACAAAACUAAUAUGCAGCGCUGGGGGAUAACCCAACUGCAGGACCACACUGGUGAUCUACAGCUAGAAAAAGGGCCUCCUACCAGUGGCGUGACAAAAAUCCAAACUACAAAUCAAAACAACAGAAAACAUACAAUCUAGAUAAAACUUUAAAAUCUGGAGCAGACGGAAUCGCCGUAUUGCUUCAACUUGCCGUCUGCCCGACUAUAAGUUAAUCAUCCAGUCAAUCAAUGUGCACGCCAG